CUCUCGGUAGCCAAGUUGGUUUUUAAGGCGCAAGACUGUAAUUUACCACUACGAAAUCUUGAGAUCGGGCGUUCGACUCGCCCCCGGGAGA
rnacentral:tRNA from 1 species